AGCAGAGAGAGGUAUUGUGCAAGAUUUGCAAAAUUAAAGUUGCAACAUCACGUGGCAAUUUCACGUGGAAAACAUUUCUAGUUUUACAAAUACACAUUUUAGCAUUAUCACUAAACUGUGUGUGCAUUUUCCUUUAAAACCCAUCAAGUUGACUCAUGAUACCAUCUAUUAUAACCGCAACCCACAUCGCAAUAUUAGCAUCAAUAACCGCAAUGGGGAAAAUAUCCCAAACCGUGCAGCCCUAUUUAACAUUAGUAAAAUAAUGAAGUAACGAAUAAAGUGAUAAUUGAACACUAAUGAUGAUGUUUGCUGUUAACAAGCAGAAAGGUAAAAGGUAAAGGUAACAGAAAGGUAAACAGAAAGACGUUAAAGCAACCAGAUGACUUGGUUCAGACAAUUACUUAACAGUGCAUUUUCUCCUUUAUGUUAGACAAAGCACACCAUGUGAAUUUCAUUUAAUACAUUUUGGAACAAAUCUGAGUCCACUUAUCAUUUCUACUUACAAACUAACAUUUCUUUUCUGGUCCGUUUGCAGUGUGUGGGCGAGAUCUGGACUGAGAACUAAGACGUAUACUAAGACAGAACGAGGUGUUGUGGCCCACAGAGUGAAAUGCACACAUUGAGGAAUGGACCCAGACCAUCGGUGCCGGACGUCUGACCCACCAACCUCCAUCCCGUCAGCCAGCGCCUUCUCCGGCUCCGAUUGCGGUAUCGCUUCUCGGCAUUUUGGAUAAGAUCAAGUGGACACUGGGGACUACACAUUUAAAUGGAUUUUUGACCUUUGGAAGUGGAAGCGAGGCUUGCUCCGUCCACUCCAUGCAUUGACUCGGGCACUUUCCGGGGACAAAUAAGAGACAAUGGCGGCAUGCUCCAGCGUCGCCUACAUGCCCAUUUCACAAAAUGGCGGCUUUGACCGGAAGUAGGGAAAACAUCCUUCCAGCUCCACCACUACGAUGGCCACUCAAUAUAAUAUGGACUGACAACUGCAUGUUUUCUCCCAAAAACGAAUUUACUUGUCAAAAAUAACAAUAGCAGAUAUUGUCCAUUUAGGUGUUACUUGGAAAUGACUGAAUAAUGUUUCGAAUGUUUUUUUAGCAUUUCGUAUUAUGAAAAUAUAUCACAUGUAAGACAGCUGUAAAUUUCAAAUAAAAUAACGAGACAUACACAACUGUUUGCGUCUGCUCCUGUUUACUGUAAUGACGGGGGUCUUUGUCCAAAGUGUGCACAUUUGGAGAAGUACAUACACGUUUUACUUCUUAUUUCUGUAGACUGAAUAAUUAUUUCUUAUUAAUUCCAAAGGAUGCGACAUGAUGAUCUAAUCGUAUGUGUUAUUCCUCGUUUGCUUGGAUGUGUAACCUUUGGUUAAAGGUAUGAAAAGGUCACCUGGGUUAUUUAUUCACACAGGAAAAUAGAUUGAACCCAAGAGACAAAUUAAACAAACAAAAAAUUACAAAAAUAUGAAAAGGACCCUGCUGGUUCGGAUGGGAUUAAAUAGACGUGACUUUCCAAAAAUAGUAAAAAUUUAUUUUUACAGAAAGUGCUUAAAAAUAUUUUAAAAAACACCAUUUACAGCCCACCAGUUAUUUACUCAGAAUUGGAGAGACUAGAUUAAGGGCCAAUCUCAUUUCUCUGUCUUACCCCUUCCCCUUUGUCUUCGUCUUCCCCUUGCCCCUCGAAACCGAGUAAAGGGGAAAGGGGUAAGAAAGAUUGUUCGUCUAAAAAAUGAGACGCCACUCGAUUACCGUUUGCGUCACUUUCCCUUGCCACUAACCGGCUGCUACGUAAACAGACAAGCGUUGACAAACAAAGAAGAUGCCGUUGUCUCAGGUUGUGGUAUCGAUUGCCUGAGCGGAGCUCAACAAAUAGCACAUAACUUAGCUGCUAGCUAGCGCCUUAACUAGCGAUUCAAAACAAAAACAUUACAAUUAAAACCGCUUGAACAUUUUAUUAAAAGUAUCAUAAAACAUGUGUGUCAUAAUAUAAUCUCAAUUAAACUGCAGAAAAUAACGUUACUUUCAUUUUUGCGACUCCUUGACAGUUCGACGUUCAUCAAUAAAACGUCUUGAUGCCGGCUCUCCUGAGAUAUUCCUACAUUAACGUUUACCCCUCUCUUUCAAGUGUGGUCAUUAUCACACUUCUUUCAAGGGCUUUGUAUCGCUACGCCUUGGCCCUAGCCCUUGAUCAAACUGAGAAUUGAGACACCACUUCGCCUCACAUGAACGCGCAAAACCGAGGUGAAGGGGUAAGGGGAAGGGUUAAGACAGAGAAAUGAGACACACCCUAAAUCCACUUUUUAACAGAAGGGAAAAACCACACAGAAAAUCAGUGCAUAAUUUUUAAAAGCAGUGAUGAACCAAAAAUAAACCAAAACCAAAGCACACAAACAUACUCUCGCCUUCUGUUUAAGUCUCAAAAACCACAGCUCAGAUGUUACAUGUGGAAAGAGUUAUAUAAAUGGUACAUACACUUAUAUACACGCGUAAAGAAAAAAAACUGCAGGACUGCAUAAACAUUAACACGGAAUAAUGCGGCAAAAAAUCAAAUGUGCAUUUAACCCCCUGGGGUCCAAAAACGCGGCGCCGCGUUUUGACGUGUUUUUUCCUUAUCAUGGCAGAACCAACUUAAAAUACUCCAUCAUUAAUAAUCAUACACUUACGUGUUUGACAUCAUUUGAAAAGGUAAAGGAUCUUCUUUAAUAUGUGUUCAUUCACAAUAACAACAGAUCUUUGUGUUUUGUCAAAUAAAGAAAAUAAACAGGGUGUGCAUCCAGACAUUUCUGUCUCUGCCAGCUGUCUCUCAAAACACGUUACAAAAGUCAAUUGAAACUCCGCGAAUACUCGUCACACAAGCAUGAUACACAUAUCCAAAGAAAGCCUGAAAUGUCUACUUUUAAAGGACAAGUUCGGUAUUUUACACUUAAAGCCCUGU